AUUGAACGCUGGUGGCAGGCCUAACACAUGCAAGUCGAGCGGAUGACGGGAGCUUGCUCCUUGAUUCAGCGGCGGACGGGUGAGUAAUGCCUAAGAAUCUGCCUGGUAGUGGGGGACAACGUUUCGAAAGGAACGCUAAUACCGCAUACGUCCUACGGGAGAAAGCAGGGGACCUUCGGGCCUUGCGCUAUCAGAUGAGCCUAGGUCGGAUUAGCUAGUAGGUGAGGUAAUGGCUCACCUAGGCGACGAUCCGUAACUGGUCUGAGAGGAUGAUCAGUCACACUGGAACAGAGACACGGUCCAGACUCCUACGGGAGGCAGCAGUGGGGAAUAUUGGACAAUGGGCGAAAGCCUGAUCCAGCCAUGCCGCGUGUGUGAAGAAGGUCUUCGGAUUGUAAAGCACUUUAAGUUGGGAGGAAGGGCAGUAAGUUAAUACCUUGCUGUUUUGACGUUACCGACAGAAUAAGCACCGGCUAACUCUGUGCCAGCAGCCGCGGUAACAC
rnacentral:rRNA from 1 species